rnacentral:misc_RNA from 1 species
GCCCAUCUCAGAAAUCAAGUUACAUACAUAUAUUCAAGAUUCUUAUCAGUUAAAACUACAUAGCUUCUUGGAACAAUAUCUUAUUCAACUUCUCCAGCUAAACAUUAUUUUGUUAACUUUCGCUUCAAAUCGUGUAUACCUUGCUUCCCAUUUACAUUCGUAGUGACCAUGAAAGAAGAAUUUAGCAAGCUUCUGAUUUUGUCUCUUGUAAUCCACAAACCAUGUUAGCUGGAACUGCGACGUCCAUCAUUUUUGGAUAUGACAAAUUCAAAUUCUGCAUGAUGUUUUUGAAUGUUUCCUUAUCUUUUGAUAGGCGUGGAUUGUAUAGCAUCUCCUCUCCCACUGAGCUGACGGUGAACCCUUUGUAGUCAUGAGCAGGAUAUAAUAAUGUGUCUUUAGGCAAUGUGAAAAUCUGUGAAUGAACUGAAUCAUACAAUUUGUCUGAACUUCCACCCUGAAAGUCUGUCCUUCCACAUCCACGUAUCAAAAGGGCAUCACCAGUAAAGGCCAUCCUUGGUUGAGGUUGAUUGGGUCCAUCUCCCGUGACAUAGGUAACACAUCCAAGUGUAUGACCAGGAGUUGCACGAACCUCCAGAAAAAUAUCACCAAAGUAGAUCUUAUCACCAGGUUCAACAAAAAUAUCAGCUUUUGCAUUGCUUGCUUUUGAUAUGAUUGAUUUCACACCAGGGAACUUUGUCUUGAUCAAGCCAGAACCAGUGAUAUGAUCAGCAUGUACAUGUGUGUUUAUAGCAUAUAUAAGCUUCAAACCCAGCUCCUUAACAAGUGCAAGAUCACGAUCCGCUGUUUUGUCCACUGGGUCAAUCAGCAAAGCGGGCUUUUGGGGAUGCGAAGCAUCAGCAACAAGGUAAGUAUAGGUAGAUGAUUCCUUCUCAAAGAGCUGACGGAAAACAAGUUUAGGGCUAUUUUGAGCAGAAGACGAAGUCGUAGAAUGCGAACCCAUUUGAGCACGAAUGGGAGAAUUGUGGGGUUUGAACGAUUGAAUAAAAGGGGCUUCGAACCAUCGGAAUCUCAGCAUGAUCUUAUCUUUACUGUCGAUUAUCUCUAUAAAAUGUUCCCGUAUUUUACAAGAAGAGUGACGUCAAUGGAAAGUAACUUUCCAACUGGCGAUGGUUUUCACAGUGUACAGUGCCU